rnacentral:lncRNA from 1 species
AGUUUCUACGGUGGUCGAUCGCCUUCCGAAUUUCAUCCAAGCUCCUACAAGAGCUGGACUCCGUCCGAACUUCUACAGUGGAUGGAUCCCAUACGCACUUCUACAAUGGACGGGCUCCACCAGUCGGAUCUCUACUCUGAACUACUAUUGCAAGCGGACUUUAUCCGAGCUUCUACAAUAAGAAGUCUCCAUCCGAGCUUCCACGGCAACCG